rnacentral:lncRNA from 1 species
GGGAGUCACACAGACCUGUUUGGUCUUUUUAAGUAGUUCUUUGAACGACACAGCUAUGCUGCCGUUUAGCCUUGUAUGAAUAAUUAGUGUUUUUCCGCUUCGGGGGUAGGCACAGAGUCACAAUGGUGGAACCGUUAGAUGUUGACUGUUCAUGGGGGUUCUUUUUAGAACUUUUUUCCCAUGUUGACGAUGACUUGGUAAUAUCUUGUUUACCUGUUCUGAAAGGAAAAUAGUAAUCUAAGGCAUAAGUAAUUUAUUCAAGCUUACUUGCAUAAUUGGAGGCGUCCGGAUGCUGACUUAUUCGUCAACGCUAUUAUAGUUG